UGAGGAAUAUUGGUCAAUGGACGUGAGUCUGAACCAGCCAAGUCGCGUGAAGGAAGAAGGUUCUAUGGAUUGUAAACUUCUUUUAUACGGGAAUAAAGUGCGCCACGUGUGGUGUUUUGUAUGUACCGUAUGAAUAAGCAUCGGCUAACUCCGUGCCAGCAGCCGCGGUAAUACGGAGGAUGCGAGCGUUAUCCGGAUUUAUUGGGUUUAAAGGGUGCGUAGGUUGUUUUUAAGUCAGCGGUGAAAGUUUGUGGCUCAACCAUAAAAUUUGCCGUUGAAACUGGAAGACUUGAGUGUGUUUGAGGUAGGCGGAAUGCGUGGUGUAGCGGUGAAAUGCAUAGAUAUCACGAAGAACUCCGAUUGCGAAGGCAGCCUGCUGGACUGUAACUGACGCUGAUGCUCGAAAGUGUGGGUAUCAAACAGGAUUAGAUACC
rnacentral:rRNA from 1 species